CCUCUAUUUCUUGGCAUGCAUGAAGUUGGUCAGUACUCAUGCGUGUAAUGUACGGAGGAAUAUUAAUACAGCGCUAUGUCUUCGGUGCCGGUAUUGUUGUAUGCCGGUUCUAUCCUCAAUCGCUGUGACACUU
ensembl:snoRNA small nucleolar RNA SNORA57